rnacentral:tRNA from 1 species
GGCCCCAUAGCUCAGCGGUUAGAGCAGCGGACUCAUAAUCCGUGGGUCGCAGGUUCAAAUCCUGCUGGGGCCA